rnacentral:rRNA from 1 species
UAGCUAGUUGGUGAGGUAAAGGCUUACCAAGGCGACGAUCUGUAGCGGGUCUGAGAGGAUGAUCCGCCACACUGGAACUGAGACACGGUCCAGACUCCUACGGGAGGCAGCAGUGGGGAAUUUUGGACAAUGGGGGCAACCCUGAUCCAGCCAUGCCGCGUGAGUGAAGAAGGCCUUCGGGUUGUAAAGCUCUUUCGGCCGGGAAGAAAUCGCAUGGGCCAAUACCCUGUGUGGAUGACGGUACCGGAAUAAGAAGCACCGGCUAACUACGUGCCAGCAGCCGCGGUAAUGCGUAGGGUGCGAGCGUUAAUCGGAAUUACUGGGCGUAAAGCGUGCGCAGGCGGUUUUGUAAGACAGGCGUGAAAUCCCCGGGCUUAACCUGGGAACUGCGUUUGUGACUGCAAGGCUAGAGUACGGCAGAGGGGGGUGGAAUUCCACGUGUAGCAGUGAAAUGCGUAGAGAUGUGGAGGAACACCAAUGGCGAAGGCAGCCCCCUGGGUCGAUACUGACGCUCAUGCACGAAAGCGUGGGUAGCAAACAGGAUUAGAUACCCUGGUAGUCCACGCCCUAAACUAUGUCAACUAGGUGUUGGGUGGGUAAAACCAUUUAGUACCGUAGCUAACGCGUGAAGUUGACCGCCUGGGGAGUACGGCCGCAAGGUUAAAACUCAAAGGAAUUGACGGGGACCCGCACAAGCGGUGGAUGAUGUGGAUUAAUUCGAUGCAACGCGAAAAACCUUACCUACCCUUGACAUGCCAGGAACUUGCCAGAGAUGGCUUGGUGCCCGAAAGGGAGCCUGGACACAGGUGCUGCAUGGCUGUCGUCAGCUCGUGUCGUGAGAUGUUGGGUUAAGUCCCGCAACGAGCGCAACCCUUGUCGUUAAUUGCCAUCAUUUAGUUGGGCACUUUAACGAGACUGCCGGUGACAAACCGGAGGAAGGUGGGGAUGACGUCAAGUCCUCAUGGCCCUUAUGGGUAGGGCUUCACACGUCAUACAAUGGUCGGUACAAAGGGUUGCCAAGCCGCGAGGCGGAGCCAAUCCCAGAAAGCCGAUCGUAGUCCGGAUUGCAGGCUGCAACCCGCCUGCAUGAAGUCGGAAUCGCUAGUAAUCGUGGAUCAGCAUGUCACGGUGAAUACGUUCCCGGGUCUUGUACACACCGCCCGUCACACCAUGGGAGCGGGUUCCGCCAGAAGUAGGUAGCCUAACCGCAAGGGGGGCGCUUACCACGGCGGGGUUUGUGACUGGGGUGAAGUCGUAACAAGGUAGCCGUAGGGGAACCUGCGGCUG